rnacentral:misc_RNA from 1 species
GAUGAAGAACGUAGCGAAAUGCGAUACUUGGUGUGAAUUGCAGAAUCCCGUGAACCAUCGAGUCUUUGAACGCAAGUUGCGCCCGAAGCCAUUAGGCCGAGGGCACGCCUGCCUGGGCGUCACACGUCGUUGCCCCCCCAUCUACUCCUUCGGGAUUGCGGGGGGCGGAUGAUGGCCUCCCGUGCGCCUCGCCGCGCGGUUGGCAUAAAUGCCAAGUCCUCGGCGACGCACGCCACGACAAUCGGUGGUUGCGAAACCUCGGUUGCCCGUCGUGUGCGGUCGUCGCGCAUCGAGGGCUCGAAAAAAUUGCCGGGUUCCGGCUCGGCUUUCAACGCGACCCCAGGUCAGGAGGGGUUACCCGCUGAAUUUAAGCAUAUCAAUAAGCGGAGGA